rnacentral:rRNA from 1 species
UACGAAGGGGGGCUAGCGUUGCUCGGAUUGACUGGGCGUAAAGGGCGCGUAGGCGGUUCGUACAGUCAGACGUGAAAUUCCUGGGCUCAACCUGGGGGCUGCGUUUGAUACGUGCGGACUUGAGUGCGGAAGAGGGUCGUGGAAUUCCCAGUGUAGAGGUGAAAUUCGUAGAUAUUGGGAAGAACACCGGUGGCGAAGGCGGCGACCUGGUCUGAUACUGACGCUGAGGCGCGAAAGCGUGGGGAGCAAACAGG